rnacentral:lncRNA from 1 species
ACGUUCAAAAUCCCAAAUAUCUGAAGAAACUCUCUCAGUGCUUGACACAGUGUAGAUCCUCAACAAUUUCUGCCUCGACAUCCUUCUCUACCACAGUUACGAUCCCUCUGCUGCUGCUGAAAGUAAAGGCCGACCACCGGCCAAGGUUACGGCCACAGUCCCAGGCCUGGCACUUACUGCCCUGUCUGCACAGUGAGCUGGGACAAUGAGUCCACCUCGGAGCCCACCCUGAGUCCCUCAGCAUUCACCAGAUCCACACUGAGGCAGGAAGAUCUCCGCUAUGCUGCCAGAAUGGGGUCCCAGCCCACUCUCCACUCCAAGGAGCCCAGCCUUCUCGAGAUGUGGGGAGAGAGCUCAAUGGGGUGAUGGCUCUUGAUCUUUUUACUUAGAAUGUUCUCUGGCAGAUAAAAUCAAAUUCAUUUUGUUUAGGGAGUUUAGCCGAAACCCCUUGAGGAACAAAUGAAGGCAGCACACAGAAAUGCCUCCUUUCCUCUGCCUGCCAUUUUAGAGGGUCCCCAAGAGGCCAGGAAUACAGUCAACCAGAGAGAAACCCAACCAGCCAAGUCAUACGAGGGAGACGGAGACUGCCAUUGUCACAACCUUUGGACUAAAGAAUGAAGUGGAAACUGAAUUUCACUGAAGGCUGUGCUUGAGCUUUUCAAGGCCAAUAGUCUGAUCCAUGUGUUUGGUUCACAAUAUAAAUGGACAAUUGUGGUGCUGAUAAGUCACCACCCGGAAGAGCCCAAGGGUGGAAGUACCUGUUAUUGGCACAUGCUGUGUGUAAACCUUCUACUGAGACUAAGCUGGUUGCAGCAUCAUUUUCCUUCAAAUCAGGGUAAAGAUCUCCUAGAUAAGAAUGAGUUGGAAAUUAAGACCCAAAUUAAAGCACAUCUAAAGAGGUUGGUACGUGACAAAACCUCCUCAGAAUGCAGUCCAUGGAAGGUUUCCGCCGGGAUCCUGUCAAGAGAGGCGAGUUUUAAAAGGAGGCUGGGAUGGGGCCUCUCUUCCCUGAGAUCUGGGGCCUCUUCCCUAACACCUGAACCUGGUUCUGUGUGGUGGGGAGGCCAUAGCUAUUGAGGAGACAACAGACAGCAUUUGCCAUGGGUCUAUGAAUCCUCUAGCUAGGGGAGAAAAGACAAGAGGCAGCAAAGACAGACAGCUAACAAGAAUAGCAUCACCUCCACCUCCACCACCAUUUCUUGGGAGGAGACAUCAUGGAAGCCACUGUUUUCAGUACUUCGGUAAGUUAUAAACUCAUUUGGAUAACGCACCGCAAGUCGUGAAGCUACAGGUCACCAGGGCGUGUACAUGCAACCAAAGCGAUUCCCAGCUGAAGUUCUGAAAUCUCUGGUUCAGUCAAAACGCAGUAGAGGCACCCUAGCGGCCCGAGCACACAAAGAUAAACGGGAAACAGAAAUUCAGAGACCAAAUUCAGAGAGUGGAGGUGAAGAAUCUACUUACGUUCUCACUCACCCACCUAGCAAGUCUUUCUUUUAUUAACUGCUUACGAGAGGCCAGGCGCUGGGGAUGCACAUAUGAAUAAAAUGAGACCUCUGACCUUUAAGAACUCCCAGUCUAGUCUCUUCAGAACCCUCUAUUUCCACACUGUGACACUUCUGCUAGUGGAAGGGCACGUUAACCGUCUAAGAGGCUGCAGCAACGGGCAUAACCUGGAAUUCUUUCAUCAACCCUGGUUGUGUGGCCACCUUAAGUCCCCCCAAUACAGUGCAGCUCCCUGAGAGCAGGAACCAUCCACACAAACCACAGGAUGAUAAUUCGCCCUCCCCCACCAUACUAGUUCACCUAAGCUGACUUUCGGGGUCAACGGAAUUUAUUUCUGACUCUACCUCCCACCCCCUCACAACCACAUCAAGUAUUUCAGAUCAAGUAUCUGUGAAUCAUAGGUCAAGCUGAUUCAUUUCUUAAAGUUUCCGGAUUAUGAAUGAAAAUGGUAUCGAUCACCUGGAUGAGGAUCAAAUACAGGGAGAGACAGCGCGACAGUCGAGACUGGCUCUGCAUUUACUUGCAACAAUGCCAACUAGAUUUCCAGCAUUUUAUUGAGACGAGGAG